UACAGAGGUCUCAAGCGUUGUUCGGAUUCAUUGGGCGUAAAGGGUGCGUAGGCGGUUUGUCGCGUCUGCCGUGAAAGUCCGGGGCUCAACUCCGGAUCUGCGGUGGGUACGGGCAGACUAGAGUGCGGUAGGGGAGACUGGAAUUCCUGGUGUAGCGGUGGAAUGCGCAGAUAUCAGGAGGAACACCGGUGGCGAAGGCGGGUCUCUGGGCAGUAACUACGCUGAGGAGCGAAAGCGUGGGGAGCGAACAGG
rnacentral:rRNA from 1 species